AGUUUAUAAUGCAAUUGCGAUAAUUAUAAAUAAUUUAGUAUUUUGCUUUUAUAUUUUUCUGUUAUUUUGAUGUACAUAAACUUUUAUUUAUUAAAAGAUAAUAAAAUUAUCUCGAAAAGAUGGGAAAACAAUAUUCAACUAAUAAAAUAAUUAUUUAAUUAGUACAAUAUUUAACUUCUGCAUUUUGUAUAUAAAAUAUUUAAAUUUUAAUUUAAUUUUAAAAUUAAUAUUUAAUUUAAAUUUAAAAUAAAAGUUCUUUUCUAGAGAAAAAAAGUAAAACAUUACCUUUAUUGGUUUUAACAAAUAAUUGUUGCAAUUGUAAUUACUCCAGUUUUGUAGAUUAAUAUCUUUUUUUUAAACGAAAAGCUAAGUUCUUUUUAGUAUAGAAAAAAUAUUUCUUAGUUAUUCAAAGUUUAUUUCACGCUCAUAAACGCAUUUACGUGAGAGGGAAAUAUCUGCAAAGGAACCUCACGAGAAAGCAAUAUCGUUUAUAUUAUUAAUAUACUUUAUCGCAGCUUCGAAAAAAAUUCCCAUAUGAGGAAGCUUGUGCACAAAGAAAUAGCCGAUUUUAUUUGUAUACCUUCGAUUGAACGUAAACGAAAUCGUUGCUCUCUAACCGCGUCUAAAUCCAGGGUAAAAGGGCAACCGCAUUCUUCGGCGAGUUUAAAUGGGGAGAAGCCGCGCGUGAAAAGUGCGCUGGUUGCAAAUCGCGGGUUACGUCAGUAGCGAUCGAUCGACAAAGCGCAGUAUCAGUCUUCGCAGAAGUUAAUGAGACACGAGUUCGACGUAAAUCGCAGAUUGCGAUCGUGAUCGUCGUUUUCAACGCGGAAAAAUGAAGUAGUCAGCAUACCGCGAUAUCUACGGGAAUUUUAUGACCGUUUAGAAGAUAACGGCUUUUUUCUUCCCCAACGACGGCGAUCCCUCGAAAGACGCACACAACUGCAGACCUUGUCACGGCUGUUGUAGAUGCCGUAAUGAGAAUGUCUACGCAUGUGUGCGAUAAUGUUGCGACAUUACUGGUAGGCGAUCGUAUCUGCCUCGUUUCACGGCGUUUGGUAUUUACAGCUAUAAACUCCAAUGAAACGCGCUUCGGUGCUUGACGAUAAAACCGUUUAAUCGCGAUAUCUUCAUUAUACUUCCUUUCCACCGUACGUGCGUGAUCAUUAAUUUUGCCGAUCGUCGGCGAUUUUACGGGGUUAACAUGCGAUAUAUUAGCGGGUUAAUGCUCAACGUUAAUUCAAGCCAGGCGUGCCAGCGACCUUAGCGCGAGUCUCCUUGAAAGAUAAGAACUGCCAGGCCGGUCUCGUUGCCUUCCCUUGCUGGUCGC
rnacentral:misc_RNA from 1 species